rnacentral:rRNA from 1 species
GGAGGUCGGAGAGCUUGCUCUUUGCCGACGAGCGGCGGACGGGUGCGUAACACGUAGGAAUCUGCCUGGUAGUGGGGGAUAGCCCGGAGAAAUCCGGAUUAAUACCGCAUACGCCCUACGGGGGAAAGCAGGGGAUCUUCGGACCUUGCGCUAUCAGAUGAGCCUGCGUCGGAUUAGCUGGUUGGUGGGGUAAAGGCCUACCAAGGCGACGAUCCGUAGCUGGUCUGAGAGGAUGAUCAGCCACACUGGGACUGAGACACGGCCCAGACUCCUACGGGAGGCAGCAGUGGGGAAUAUUGCACAAUGGGCGAAAGCCUGAUGCAGCCAUGCCGCGUGUGUGAAGAAGGCCCUAGGGUUGUAAAGCACUUUCAGUGGGGAGGAAAGGUUGAAGGUUAAUACCCUUCAGCUGUGACGUUACCCACAGAAGAAGCACCGGCUAACUCCGUGCCAGCGGCCGCGGUAAUACGGAGGGUGCGAGCGUUAAUCGGAAUUACUGGGCGUAAAGCGUGCGUAGGCGGCUACCUAAGUUGGAUGUGAAAGCCCCGGGCUCAACCUGGGAACUGCAUCCAAAACUGGGUGGCUGGAGUACGGGAGAGGAGUGUGGAAUUUCCUGUGUAGCGGUGAAAUGCGUAGAUAUAGGAAGGAACACC